ensembl:snRNA U6 U6 spliceosomal RNA
GAAUACCAUGCUGGCUUCAUACACCCAAAUUAGAACAAUACAGAGACCAUUAGACUGGCCCCCAUGCAAGGAUGAAGUGCAAACUCAUGUGCCAUGUUUUUUUUUU